UUGGAAGUGGAAAGUUGGAAGACA
rnacentral:piRNA from 1 species